AGGAGGAUUGGGCUAAAAAUUCCUUAGGAUAGGAUAGAUUCAUACCCGGGGGUCGACUAUUUGUGAGACAGGGUCGAAAUCAGACCUUUGGCUACUAAAACGAUGGCUUAGGGCAAAAUAGGGUCUCAUUCAAAGAUCGAAGGUUAGAUUUUGAGAGCUAGCUUGAAGUUCUUUUUAGAGACAUAAGAAUUGUUUUGAGAGGGUUUUGGAAGACUUAGCAAUUGUUGUUCAAAGUCAGGGUUUAUAUCAAAGAUUUGGAUUUUAUAUAAUAUAAUUAGGGCUAGAAAUUUUGGCUAGUUCGUACAAUUGGCAUGACAUCUAUGGUUGAAAAUUUGAAAUUAUUUGGAUUAUUGGAUGUGCUAAGUUUAUACAAAAUUUUGCGAUAAUCUAACAGCGUGGAUUAGAGAUAUCUAGUUUUUAGCACAAGAAGAUUUCAGAAGGUAGCAGUUUGAAGUUGGGUAGGGUUUCUAUGAUAUCUAAAGAUCUAUCAGUCGGAUUAAGGUGAAAAUUGGCAUAGUAUUGAAGGACCUUAAGAUCAAGCUACACACCAAUUUUGAGACAAAGUUAACGGUUAAAGAAGGAAAAAUCAUUG
rnacentral:lncRNA from 1 species